AAAGUGUGGACUAUGUAAACAGUGCUUUUGUGGAUCGAAAAACUAGUGUGUGAGCUAAAACUAUGGUUUCUAUUCGAAAAUGUUCAAUAAAAACAGUAAAAAAGCAGUGACGUGCAUAAAUUUUGAUUGAUCGAUGAGCAAAGAAGGACGUGUAGUGCAAAAAUGGGUUAAAUUUAAGACAUUCGGGUUAAGUGGGCUCAAAAUGGGCAAACAAUAUACCUACUGACAAUCAUCAAACCAUAAUCGAAAUCUUCCAAAGCUGAUCGGAUCCACUAUGCGCCACUUGCAUCACGCAAAAGUGGCCCUUUGCACAAAAUUCAAACCAGCAGUGAUACACAACGAAGAUAACCUCAAAAAUUCACCAUCACCAGAGAGAAAAAGAAAUUGUGAAAGAAUUGAAGGAGUUUAUUUGGAAAAUCAGUUGGCAGAUAAUUUUGACCAGAAGUGACAAUUGAUAAAGACCAGAAGAUAAAAGAUUUCUGUUUAGAAGAAAUCUCUCACCAGAAUCAGGAUUAAUCUUUUACCAGAAUUGAAUCUGAAACCAGGAGCAAUUGUCUGGCCUUCUGGAGAAGUUUCGUAUUUUUUUGGCUUUAUUUUGUGGAACUAUUUUGGGAAUCUUUAUUAGAUGUGAUUUCUGAUCAAGAGUCAUCACCAAAAGGAAAGAUUUUUGACCAGUAGCAGAAAAGCACAAAGCAGUUGAUUCAUCUUUUGACCAGAAGAAGGUAUCUUUAACCAAAAGUAAAUUAUAACAAGGUGAGAUCUUUAACAAGAAUUGGCGUCUAAACUUUCAGAAGUUUUGGCAUCCAUUUGUUGAACUUAAAGGCAACUACAUUAUUUUUAAGCAAUUUUAUCUACUCUGGUUCCACAAGUUAUUAUCCAAAAAGAAAUCUCUGACCUUGAGUGAUCUCUAAUUAGAACCAGGAGCGAUCUUCAACGUGUUGGUGUAGUUUCAUAUUCUUUGGUUUUAUUUUGUUGAACUAUUCUAGGAAUCUUUGUUAGGAUUUCUAGCCAGUAGCAGGAGAAACAAUUCUUGACUAAAGUAGAUCUAACAGUUGGCUUUGUCUUUUUGACCAGGAUUUAACACUGAUUAGAUAGAAGGUA